rnacentral:rRNA from 1 species
AUAUUGGUCAAUAGCCUAACGGCUGAACCAGCAACUUGGAAGAAUGGAUUAUUUGUAUAUAUACAAUAUUAACUAUGUUAAAUAAAGUUCUAGGUAGAAUUAUGAUAAUGACAUAUUUUAUCUAUAAGUCUUGACCAAGUCACGUGCCAGCAGUCGCGGUAAUACGUGGAAGACUAGUGUUAUUCAUCUUUAAUAGGUUUAAAGGGUACCUAGACAGUUAAUUAAGCCUAAAAGGCACUGAUUAACUAGAGUUUAAUAUAAGAAGGGGAGUACGGUGAGUGUAGAGAUAAAAUUCGAUAAUACCAUUUAGAAACUGGUAAUGGCGAAAGCAACCUUUUAUGUAAAAACUGACGUUGAGGUACGAAGGCUCGAUAAAGUAACAGGAUUAGAUACCCUAGUAUUGUGAGCAGACAAUGAUGAAUGUCAUAUAUAAGAAUAUAUUUUAUAUAUAAAUGAAAGUGUAAACAUUCCACCUCAAGAGUAAUACGGCAACGUAGGAACUGAAAUCAUUAGACCGUUUCUGAAACCAGUAGUGGAGUAUGUUGUUUAAUUUGAUAACCCACGUAAAACCUUACCACAACUUGAAUAUUUAUAAUUUAUUUAUAAUUACAGGAGUUGCACGGCUGUCUAAAGUUAAUGUCGUGAGAUCAUGGUUAGUUCCAUUAAAUUAACGUAAACCCUUACUUUAUUUUUUAUAAAGUAGUUCGCCAUUAUAUUGGUAAUGAUAUAAGGGAAUAAGACAAGUCAUCAUGGCCUUAAUGUUGUGGGCUA